rnacentral:lncRNA from 10 species
UAGAGAUGGGGUUUCACCGUGGUCUCCGUCUCCUGACCUCAUGAUCUGCCCGCCUUGGCCUCCCAAAGUGCUGGGAUUACAGGUGUGAGCCACCCCACCCGGACCCUUCCUUCUAAUAACGCUAUGGGUUUUAUUUAUAAGGUCUUCAUUCACUUUAUAAGAUUCGAGAGAACUUUGUUCCAAUCUUGGCUCUGCUGCUACUUUUAAUAGGUUCUUGUUCUCGCUGACUUCAAGAAUGAAGCCAUGGACCCUUGCAGUGAGUGUUACAGUUCUUAAAGAUGGUGUGUCCGGAGUUUUUUCCUUCAGAUGUUCAGAUGUGUCCGGAGUUUCUUCCUUCUAGUGGGUUCGUGGUUUUGCUGACUUCAGGAGUGAAGCCACAGACCAUCGCAGUGAGUGUUACAGCUCUUAAACGUGGUGCGUCUGGAGUUGUUCGUUCCUCCCAGUGGGUUCGUGGUCUUGCUGACCUCAGGAGUGAAGCCACAGACCUUUGCAGUGAGUGUUACAGCUCAUAAAGGUAGUCCGUGGACCCAAAGAGAUGCUUCCUUUUCCUUCUGACAUGAGUGGAACCAGCCAUAGGCCCUCAUCAGAGGCAGAUGCUGGCACUUUGCUUCUCGUACAGCCUGCAGAAUGAGACAGAGUCUUGCUCUGCUGCUCAAUCUGGAGUGCAGUGUUAUGAUCAUAAUUCACUGCAGCCCCAAACUCCUGUGCUCAAGCUAUCCUCCCACCUCAGCUUCUUGAGUAGCUGGAACUACAGGCACAUGCCAAUAUGCUUGGCUAUUUUUUUAAUUUUUAUUUUUUAUAUAUAUGGGGUCUUAACUUUGUUGCCCAGGUUGUAAAUAUCUUUUCAUAAAGUUUUCUUCUUUGCAUGCAAACCAUUAGCCACACUGAAUUUUUCUAUUCCCUCUUGAGAUUACAAGUAGAAAGCAGACCUUCUAGUUUAUCCCUUAGUUCUUUUAACAUUCUUUCAUAUUUCCCAUUUUCUUUUAUCUCUAAACUAUGCCGUGAGUACUUGCUCCACAUCUGUCUUCCAAUUCUUUUAUAACCUUUGGCUGCUUUCUUACCUACAAAUUAAUUGUAAAUUGUAAAUUGUUG